CUAAUACAAUGUCACGACACACACUAUAAUGUCACUGCUUUGUGUAAAGCUACACACUACAAUGUCACUGCUCUGUGUAAAGCUACACACUAUAAUUUCACUGCUCUGUGUAAAGCUACACACUACAAUGUCACUGCUCUGUGUAAAGCUACACACUACAAUGUCACUGCUCUGUGUAAAGCUACACACUAUAAUGUCACUGCUCUGUGUAAAGCUACACACUACAAUGUCACUGCUCUGUGUAAAGCUACACACUAUAAUUCCACUGCUCUGUGUAAAGCUACACACUACAAUGUCACUGCUCUGUGUAAAGCUACACACUACAAUGUCACUGCUCUGUGUAAAGCUACACACUACAAUGUCACUGCUCUGUGUAAAGCUACACACUACAAUGUCACUGCUCUGUGUAAAGCUACUGUAAAGCUGUGUGGACUCAGUUACAGCACGGCAGUACUACAGGGUUCUGUACUGUGGCGUGUGGACAGUUACAGCACGGUGGUACUACAGGGUUCUGUACUGUGGUGUGUGGACUCAGUUACAGCACAGUGGUACUACAGGGUUCUGUACUGUGGUGUGUGGACAGUUACAGCACGGUGGUACUACAGGGUUCUGUACUGUGAUGUGUGGACAGUUACAGCACGGCAGUACUACAGGGUUCUGUACUGUGGCGUGUGGACAGUUACAGCACGGUGGUACUACAGGGUUCUGUACUGUGGUGUGUGGACUCAGUUACAGCACAGUGGUACUACAGGGUUCUGUACUGUGGUGUGUGGACAGUUACAGCACGGUGGUACUACAGGGUUCUGUACUGUGAUGUGUGGACAGUUACAGCACGGUGGUACUACAGGGUUCUGUACUGUGGCGUGUGGACUCAGUUACAGCACGGUGGUACUACAGGGUUCUUGAGACACUCACUCUCUCUCUCCUGGUUUGGGUUAACUUGGCCCGCCUGUGUCAUAUUAGGCCUGGAUGUCAAUAACCAAGGCCUGUUUUGAAA
rnacentral:lncRNA from 13 species